rnacentral:rRNA from 1 species
UACGUAGGGGCCUAGCGUUGUCCGGAAUUAUUGGGCGUAAAGAGCUCGUAGGCGGUUCGGCAAGUCGGAUGUGAAAUCUCCACGCUUAACGUGGAGGGGCCAUUCGAAACUGCUGUGACUCGAGUCCGGUAGGGGAGUGUGGAAUUCCCGGUGUAGCGGCGAAAUGCGCAGAUAUCGGGAGGAACACCAGUAGCGAAGGCGGCACUCUGGGCCGGAACUGACGCUGAGGAGCGAAAGCGUGGGGAGCGAACAGG